GUGCUCGCUUCAGCAGCACGUAUUCUAACACUGGACUGAUACAGAGAAGAUUAGCCUGGCCCCUGUGCAACGAUGACCCACAAAUUCAUGAAGCGUUCCAUAGUGGG